rnacentral:rRNA from 1 species
UCAAAUUUGAAAUCUGGGUCUUUUAGGCUCCGAGUUGUAAUUUGUAGAAGAUGCUUUGGGUGCGGCCCCGGUCUAAGUUCCUUGGAACAGGACGUCAUAGAGGGUGAGAAUCCCGUAUGUGAUCGGUGGCUUGCGCCCGUGUAAAGCUCUUUCGACGAGUCGGGUUGUUUGGGAAUGCAGCUCUAAAUGGGUGGUAAAUUUCAUCUAAAGCUAAAUAUUGGCCAGAGACCGAUAGCGCACAAGUAGAGUGAUCGAAAGAUGAAAAGCACUUUGGAAAGAGAGUUAAACAGUACGUGAAAUUGUUGAAAGGGAAGCGCUUGCAACCAGACUUGCGCGGGGUUGAUCAUCCGGGGUUCUCCCCGGUGCACUCGGCCUCGCUCAGGCCAGCAUCGGUUUUGGUGGUUGGAUAAAGGCCUUGGGAAUGUGACUUCUUUCGGGGAGUGUUAUAGCCCUCGGUGCAAUGCAGCCUACCGGGACCGAGGACCGCGCUUCGGCUAGGAUGCUGGCGUAAUGGUUGUAAGCGACCCGUCUUGAAACACGGACCAAGGAGUCUAACAUCUAUGCGAGUGUUUGGGUGUCAAACCCAUACGCGUAAUGAAAGUGAACGGAGGUGAGAACCCUUAAGGGUGCAUCAUCGACCGAUCCUGAUGUCUUCGGAUGGAUUUGAGUAAGAGCAUAGCUGUUGGGACCCGAAAGAUGGUGAACUAUGCCUGAAUAGGGUGAAGCCAGAGGAAACUCUGGUGGAGGCUCGCAGCGGUUCUGACGUGCAAAUCGAUCGUC